rnacentral:rRNA from 1 species
UACGUAGGGGGCUAGCGUUGUUCGGAAUUACUGGGCGUAAAGGGCGCGUAGGCUGUGCUGUAAGUCAGGCGUGAAAGCCCCGGGCUCAACCUGGGAAUUGCGCUUGAUACUGCGGCGCUGGAAGGUGGGAGAGGAUGGCGGAAUUCCCAGUGUAGAGGUGGAAUUCGUAGAUAUUGGGAAGAACACCGGUGGCGAAGGCGGCCAUCUGGCCCAGUUUUGACGCUGAGGCGCGAAAGCGUGGGGAGCAAACAGG